AGUUCGGAUUGGAGUCUGCAACUCGACUCCAUGAAGCUGGAUUCGCUAGUAAUCGCGCAUCAGCCAUGGCGCGGUGAAUACGUUCCCGGGCCUUGUACACACCGCCCGUCAAGCCAUGGGAGCCGGGGGUGCCUGAAGUACGUGACCGCGAGGAGCGUCCUAGGGCAAAACUGGUGACUGGGGCUAAGUCGUAACAAGGUACC
rnacentral:rRNA from 1 species